rnacentral:rRNA from 1 species
CCCUUAGAUGUCCUGGGCUGCACGCGCGCUACACUGGAAGUUACGGAUUGAGAUACUACCUUGUCCGAAAUGGUCCGGGUAAUCACCUAAAAGCUUGUCAUAAUUGGAAUGGAUUAUUGUAACUAGUAAUCCUGAACGAGGAAUUCCUAGUAAGUCCCAGUCAACAGCUGGUACUGAUUACGUCCCUGCCCUUUGUAUACACCGCCCGUCGCUACUACUGAUUGGACGUUUAAGCAAGAUUUUUAAACACUGACAGUGUGUAGUUCACGCUAUACUACAGUGAGAAGAAGAAGAUCGAGCUUACUUGUCUAGAGGAAGUAAAAGUCGUAACA